rnacentral:rRNA from 1 species
GGACGAACGCUGGCGGCGUGCUUAACACAUGCAAGUCGAACGAGAGGAGAAGGAAGCUUGCUUCUUCAAAUCUAGUGGCAAACGGGUGAGUAACACGUAAACAACCUGCCUUCAGGAUGGGGACAACAGACGGAAACGACUGCUAAUACCGAAUACGUUCCUUAGGUCGCAUGAUCUUAGGAAGAAAGGGUGGCCUCUACCUGUAAGCUAUCGCCUGAAGAGGGGUUUGCGUCUGAUUAGGUAGUUGGUGAGGUAACGGCUCACCAAGUCGACGAUCAGUAGCCGGACUGAGAGGUUGAACGGCCACAUUGGGACUGAGAUACGGCCCAGACUCCUACGGGAGGCAGCAGGUGGGGAAUAUUGGGCAAUGGGCGAAAGCCUGACCCAGCAACGCCGCGUGAAGGAAGAAGGCUUUCGGGUUGUAAACUUCUUUACCAGGGACGAAGGACGUGACGGUACCUGGAGAAAAAGCCACGGCUAACUACGUG